GACGGAGGAUGCAAGCGUUAUCCGGAAUUAUUGGGCGUAAAGCGUCCGCAGGUGGCUGUUCAAGUCUGCUGUCAAAGCGCAGAGCUUAACUCUGUACAGGCGGUGGAAACUGAAGAGCUAGAGUAUGGUAGGGGUAGAGGGAAUUUCCGGUGUAGCGGUGAAAUGCGUAGAUAUCGGGAAGAACACCAGUGGCGAAAGCGCUCUACUGGGCCAUAACUGACACUGAGGGACGAAAGCUAGGGGAGCGAAAGGG
rnacentral:rRNA from 1 species